UCCCCUUAGUGAGAGCAAAGGGGAAGCGGCCGGGCGCCGAAGGCGGAGCCGCCGGCGGGGGCGCAGGGAGAGCAGCGCCCGGGGCCCCAGCCCGCCGGGCCGGGGAGGAGCGGAGCAGCUGCCGGCGCUAGAUUCUAAAGAUCUGCCUUUACUGAGUUCUCCAGGAGGUAACCAACCACUGUGGAGCUACAUUAGUAGUCUGGAGAUGGUGCCAAAAGAACUUCAUGUUCCUAUGACUUGUAUUGUAACCUGACUCAGUGAUACUUUUGGAUAUACAUUUCUAUUCUAAGGAGAAGAGUGCGUACUCCCAAUUCUGCCAGUUUACUGGCAGAGAUUUUGUGUUGUAAGAUCAUGGACCAUUCAAACAGGGAGAAGGAUGAAAGGCAGCGGACAACAAAAGGAAUGCCAGGGAGGAGUGGGCAUGGUUCUCGACCGAGUUCCGCUACAUCCUCUGGUGUUCUUAUGGUGGGACCCAAUUUCAGAGUGGGCAAGAAGAUAGGGUGUGGGAACUUCGGAGAGCUCAGACUAGGCAAAAAUCUCUAUACCAAUGAAUAUGUAGCGAUCAAACUGGAACCAAUAAAAUCCCGUGCCCCUCAGCUUCAUUUAGAGUACAGGUUUUAUAAACAGCUCGGCAGUGCAGCUGAAGGCCUCCCCCAGGUGUAUUACUUUGGCCCAUGUGGAAAGUACAAUGCCAUGGUACUAGAACUACUUGGUCCUAGCUUGGAAGAUUUGUUUGACCUCUGUGAUCGAACUUUCACUUUGAAGACGGUAUUAAUGAUAGCCAUCCAGCUGAUAUCUCGAAUGGAAUAUGUGCAUUCAAAGAACCUCAUUUACCGAGAUGUCAAGCCAGAGAAUUUCCUUAUUGGCCGGCAAGGCAAUAAGAAAGAACACGUCAUUCACAUCAUCGACUUUGGAUUGGCCAAGGAGUACAUUGAUCCUGAAACCAAAAAACACAUACCUUACAGGGAACACAAGAGCCUAACUGGAACAGCAAGAUAUAUGUCCAUCAAUACACAUCUUGGCAAAGAGCAAAGUCGGCGAGAUGACUUGGAAGCCCUUGGCCACAUGUUCAUGUAUUUCCUUCGAGGCAGUCUGCCCUGGCAAGGGCUCAAGGCUGACACCUUAAAAGAGAGAUAUCAGAAGAUUGGGGACACGAAGAGAAACACUCCAGUUGAAGUUCUCUGUGAGAACUUUCCAGAGGAGAUGGCCACAUAUCUUCGUUAUGUCAGGCGAUUAGACUUCUUUGAGAGACCAGACUACGAUUACUUACGAACUAUCUUUACAGAGCUAUUUGAAAAAAAAGGCUACACCUUUGAUUAUGCCUACGACUGGGUUGGCAGGCCACUGCCUACUCCAGUGGGGUCCAUUCAUGUAGAUUCCGGGGCAUCUGCAAUAACUAGAGACAGCCACGCACAUAGGGAUCGACCGUCACAGCAACAUGCUCUUCGAAAUCCGAACAUAUCAGAAGUUCAGCAGAUCACUGGAACUGAUAGUUCCUUUUUAGAGCUGUUGGUACUCCAUACCUCCCACAACAGCAUCAUCAGACCGCCGAGGAGAGUGGGAGAUCCAACCAAGCCGGCAGACAAAUACCUCGUACCUGACAUCUCACUUGGCUGCAGACCGGCAUGGGGGAUCAGUACAGGUGGUGAGUUCGACUAAUGGAGAACUGAAUGUUGACGACCCAACAGGGGCACACUCCAAUGCACCAAUCACAGCACAGGCUGAGGUGGAAGUGGUGGAAGAAGCUAAGUGCUGCUGCUUCUUUAAGAGGAAAAGGAAGAAGACUGCCCAGCGUCACAAAUGACAGGUGCCUCUUGGGUUCUUGUAGGAACUCCAGCUACAGCUCCUGCCGUGUCUUACUGAAAGGAGCUUCUCUCUAGGGGGAGGAGGCGGCGUAGGAGGAAGAGAAACAAGUGACAUUUUAAACCAAAAAGAGAGAAGAAAAUAGUUCCAAAACAAACCGCUCUGGGGUGGAUCUGCUCCAUGGUUUCCUCAUUCGCUCCAAGCCUGAAGCUCCUUUUGGGAUCAGGACUGCAGCUGGCUCAGGCCUUGGUUGCCCAGUGGGCAGGUGGGCUGGCUGGCUGACCCUCCUUCCCAUUGUUUACGGCAGAAGGCAUCAUUCACACAAACCUGAGAACUAUGCUUUGUUUCCUGCUCACUUUACUCCCCCUCACACUCUCUCUGCCCAUCCAUCCUCCUCCCUCCCAAAUGGAAAUACCCCUGGUAGGCUUCUUUGGCUAAGGGGAGGUGAUAGGUGGUUGUCUGAGCAGGAAAGACAUGUGGGAGAAGGUCCUGGCUGGUAUGAGGCAAUUUCUCCCCCAAGUCCCUUUCAGCAUCAGCCUGUACUGCCAGCCUGGCCAGGUACAACAGUGGGACGUAGGCUCCCUCCUAGGCUCCUUGGGAACAGUUAUACUGUAGCGUGAGACUUGCAAUCUACUGUUCCAGUCCCUUAGGUUCUCUGGCUUCCUUGUUCGCUCCCUUCUCCAAAUGGUAACAGAGCAGUGCGGAUUGUUUUAAAGAAACAGACAUUGUUGCACUUUUUAUUAUUUUUUAGCAUUACAGAUGCAUAUUGUGUCUGUAGAUUUUUCGCAUGGACAAGUGAUGCCGGCACAGACAGACAUUCAGCUUGGAAUGUGGAGGGGUGCAAAGAAUGUCCUCAACAGAGGGUUUGCUUGCAACAUCCAGAAAACCCUAAAGCUAAUCACCUAUUGUUGGUCAUGCGCUGAGAGAAACCUACUUGAAUUUUGAAUCACCCUUUGUAGCUGCCAGUGAAUGUCCCUACCAUGGUUUCCUACUUGGUGCCUGACAUAACCAGCCUGGAGUUGGGGGGCACUAGCUUUCUGUUGGAGCAGGGAGAGGCAUCAGCCUCGCUGAGCUGGAGGAGUUUUCUCUGGGUAGACAAGCAGAUAUGGAUUACAUAACUGAAAACCUGAUGUUUCCCAAACUGCAGAUAUUUUGUAUGGCAGGGUGGCCGCCUAACCUUCUCAGAUGGUUUCUGGGAGGUUGAUUAUGGAGUAAGCACCUUCCUUUCAAUUUACUAAAUAGUCUACAAUGGAAGUGUUUGAGAGAGCAAAGCUACCCAAGCAGGGAAUGGACACUUAACUGCCUUACAGUGAGUGCAUCUGCAGGUGGCCAGAUAAGCUACUCAAAUCAGACUUUGUGUAGGUUUCAGUGUGCUCUACAAGCUGCCUAGGCCUGAGUGCAAGCUCAGAGGUCUGUCUGUGGGGCCUGGAGCACACACCAUGCAGUUCUCCCUGUAGUGGGAGCUAAGGUCUUUUUAACACACCAUUCUUGAGUCAAACCAUUAUUUAGCAAAGGGCUUAGGGCACUUGAACUCUCAUAUCCCAAUGUAAGGAUUGCUGAGCUCUGAAGAGGCAGCUGCAGUUACUCCUCGGGGGAAUUGUGUGGGGUCUGUGUGGCAAAGGUUUACAAGAGCUAAAGAAGCUUUUUUGUGGAGGCUAGGAAUUGGUUCCUCGUGCUUUGCCUGUUUGCAUAUCACAUCAGAAUGGGAUCAGACCCCUCAUUUCAGGGGAUGUAGUUGUCAUGUAAUUAGGGCUCUCCCACCCCAGUGCUUGAAUUACAUUCAGAGGCAGAGUACGGAGGUUCUAAUAUACCAUCUCUUCAAAAUGGUGGUCCAGCUGCCUCUGAGUGCAUGUAGUGACAUGCACUGAAAGGGAAGCGAUGGGAAGAAGCAGGGAAGGAGUGUUUGUUUCAGGGGUGGGCAGAGACUCCCUCCCCCUUCAGGCAGAGCAGCAGUAAGGCAGGCGAGCACGCUGCUUCAGUUCAGUGGUUAGGAUUUGUAGCUUGAAACUCAGCCCCUUUUUCUAUCGUGAGGAUUCUGCUCUCCCAGAGAAUCCCUUUGGGGUGUUUCUCAGCUGCUAGCCAUUUUCUGCUGGGAUCUUAAUGCCUUAUCCAAAUGAAAAGAAAGCGGAUAUAGCCAAGCGUUUUGCUGCUCUUUCCUCUCUCCGCCACUGGGGUGAAGUUAAGCUGGGGGCUAGCUUGCUCUUCAUUCACUAACCCACCAAGAGAUUUGUAAACCCACCUUUUUAAUUCUGCAAGAACUUUUCCGUUAAGUGUAACAAGUGGGGUGCAAAAGGAAAGGGCUUUCCAUUCCCCAUGAGUGUGGCUGCUUGGACUCCCUAACCCUUUUUCUUUCUCCCAAGGAGAGGAGGGUAGGGGACAUUUAAUCACUUAGUUUUGUCGCUCUGCCUCUUCCUGAACUCUUCUACUGCUGUUGACUUUCGAAGAAGUCAGGCUGUUUGAAAUGAGCAUUUCCUCAUACCCUCACCAUAGGAAACCAUGGUUCGGCAUCUUGGGGGGAGGGAGGCGCAGGAAUUUGUGGGGAGAAAGCAGUUGUAUGCUCCCAGCUCUCCAGAUUGUACUGGGCCCUGAGACACAAGCAUUGCUGCCCUCCUAAACCCCAUUAAGUGCCUGUCACCAAAACUCAGAGGAGAAACUCAAUUCCUUCUGCAUUUCCUGACAUUGUUCAGUCAUUCCUAACUAUUUCCAAUCAGGGAGUAGCUUGUAGUUUGCAAAGUAUGUAUGGGGAGGGAAGUGUCUCUGCAUUUUUUUUUGUUUUUGUUCUUAAAUAUUAUUUUUAAGUAAGUGAAUGUAUUUGAUUGGUAGAAAUUUUCCUUUGUUUUUAAGUGGGUCAGUUUGAAAGCUAUUUCAUGUUGACCACACUAGUGCUUUGCUCUGGGGAGUUGAUGUUCUUUUAAUCCUAUGAUGAUGUAUAUGAAGGGGAGAGAAUGUAUCUCCCCAAGGCAUGCUGGUAAUGCUCAAUUAUACCAAGCCCUCUUGCACUAUAGUCAUACAUUGGACUCUCCAGAAGGGCAAAGGAUGUAAAAAGCGGGUAAACAGUAAAUCCUAUUCUAAGGAAACUAUUCGAACCCAUAAAGUUCAAGAAGUGACUGGUGAUAAAAACCAGAUCGAGCGGGCCAUCUUACAGUAGGAAUUAGAGCAUUAAACCCACCUACAUUAAUUCCCUGCCUCUCCUCCCCACUGGAAACUAAUAUAUUAGUUGGUAUAUACCUGCAUACUUCCAAGAAAAUGAGAGGAGAGAAUCUCAGAUCACAGCUGGCCAGUGGAGCUGCUGCGCAGGAGCAUCAUCUGGCUGUCCUAUGCUUCCUUCGCAUGGCCUAAUACUACAGCUGGAUUUCCAGAUGUGGUUCCCCUGCAGCAGGGACCCACCAAAGUUCCAUUGCAGUCUCCUGAGGUCUCAAGUGAGGUUUUCAAUAAAAUUUUGCACUGCUGUAUUGAACUCCAUGUAUAGAUGUAAUUAUUACCCCUUCCUGAGAACACUUACUUAUGGAUGUUUUCUUUGCUUCAAUCUGGACUCUCUUGGUAACCCUUCCAUCCUGUAUUAAAGAACCUCUGAAACCCUCUUCGAGGGGACCAUGUACAGUGUGGGAGCUUUUGAAAUUCUUUUUAUUUCUUUAAAGCCAUGAACAGUCCAGCCUUAUGCAGCUUGGUUAAGGAAUGCUGGAACUAACCCUCUUCUCCGCACACUUCCCCGUCCCACUUCCCUGAUAAAAGAAAGCAGGCACCAUCACUGGUGACUUUGCUGUCUGUUGUUUGGACACAAAUGGAUGUGAACUAAUCAGAAAUGUGCUAACCACAUGCAGCAUAAUCAGUAGUCCUUUUGUAUAUCAACUACAGUGUGGCAAAACAUCAAAUGUGUCUUCCCCAUAUGGCAAGGGCAUGACCUACUCCUGCCUCCUGGCCAGUACACUACAGAAAGGCUGUACCACUACAUCAACUGAAAAUUCAGCAGCAGCUCUCACUUUAGCUGAACUCUGGAGUUAUGCUCAGACCACAUCAGAAUCUAAGCAGAACAUAACAUCAGCAUGUUGUGUGCAACCUUGUGAAACCCCAGUCCAUGAGGGAGGGUGGGAAUGACUUGCACUCAUGUUGAGCAUUGUCUUCCUCAUUGUCUGUCCAUAAUUUAGCUGCUCUGUUGUGUGUAAAGUGGGGGACAGGUGCUUGUGAACCAGGUAUCUAGUAAGCAAUGCUUGGGUAGUUGAAAUGAAUCAACUAAUCUGCUGAACUGCCAUGAUCAAGAGGUUUCCAGCAUGCAAAUAGCAAUUGCUUAUUUAUUCUCAGUACAGUUGGAAAAAAUGCAUUAAAGCAGCUGCUCUUUAUUAGCCAAAAGAAGCAUCUUCUAAAAGUAGCUUUCAGUAUACUUAAACAGAAAAAGCACAUAUAGCAUUCUGUCCGUGAUGAUUCUCAGUGUUAGUAACUGCUUAAUGCCAGGGUCUGCUUAGCUGGAAACCUUACUCCUACUUGAUCACAACCUUCAAAGUAAUUACUCUUUUAGCAUGAACUGUAUCACCUAGUUUCCAGAAUCACUGCUCCCAGGAGCACUAGUGCUCUUUGAGAAGGAAAAGAAACCUCAAAAUGUCUUUCCCCUGGCCCUUUAAAACAUCUAUAUGAGGCCAUCUCCUCUUUUGUGGUUUGAUUGUUUCCAGUAACCAAUUAGCAAGCAGUAACUUCAUAGUAUUCCAUUUUGACUUAGGAUUCUGACAUGAGUAACAUGCCUGGGUCCCUGAGCUUGUUGCAUGGCAUCUGUUAAUAAAGAGCAAGCUGGAGACUGCUGAGCUGAGCCCUCCCUUGGUAGUGCUUGUUAUUUCAGAUUGUGUUUUGGAGGGAGUGCUGUUUGAACACCUAAGAACAGUGUCCAUACAGCCAUAGCUGCCAUCCUGUUUUCCCCUGCAAACCAGCAUGUGUGAGAGAGAGAGGGACAGAGAGUGCUAAAGGCACCAUAAAUGGGGAAACUUUACUUUUCCACAAUACCACUGAAGGUUUCAGGGAAAGUCUUGAAUGCGGGUGCCAGCUGCCAGCUCCAUCUCUUUGUCAAGAACGGUUGGUUUGAAAGUGAAGUUUCAGUUACCAACUUCUAGGUGAGCAUUCCCCUCUGCAGGGUGCUUGCAAUUUGCACAGUGUUUGGCGGUACCGUGCCCUAGGACUCUUCCUGUACUUGAGUGAGUACGUGGUUUUAAAGUGUUGGGUGUUUUCAGUUACAUUUUCAGGUAACUGACUGCAACAGAAUUGGUUUUUCAGGCUUCAGUUUAAUAGUCGUACAGUAUAGGUGAUAGAUUCUGAUUCAGAUCUAUUUGAAUAGAGAACAUGAAAAAUGUAUUCCCCACAUCCAAAAGGAAACCCACUCCAGUAUUUGUGUGUAAAGGUGUGUGUGAAGCUGGGCUUCAGAGUCUGAAAUAACAGUGAACACUUCUCUGUGGGUUUCUAGUUUGGUUGACCAAACUUCAUAUUUUAAAGAGACUUCAAACUCUCUGACCAAGAUUUUUUUUCCUUUCUCACUCCUCUCCCUACCUUUCUGGGGCAGUCCCAACAUGCUCUUUAGUACAUCACAAGUAUUUUCACGGCAAGAGAUCAGAGCCUUGGGACCUCACUGAAUUAAUACCAAUUGAAGUAAGGGCCUAGUUCUGAUCGCCAAGAGUAGGGAGAAACCACCCAGAAAAGGGACAGUUCUCUGUUAUGUCUUUGGCCUGCCCAAAUCACAGGUGCAAGCCAAGCCAGGAGGAAUACAGGCAGGACAAGGCUUUAAAAGACAUGUCUAAUCCUUUUGAGAGUGUCUCAGGAAAAUUAUCUUCACAGUAGAUGCUCGUUUCCCACCUGUAUAGCUCUAGCUGCACAGUGCAAACAACUCUGAGAACCCUGGUUUUUCCAAGUGUUCUUGUAAGAAAACAAGUGACAAGUUCUCUCUUCCCAAAUUAGAACAGCAAGCUGGUACUGAUAAAGUCUUAUUUGUAAUUAUGAGACAGAGAGAAGAAUAUCCUCUGGGAACAUGUAGAUUAUACCAAAUACAUUAUAAACCACAAAUCCCCAAAUAAAAAAUACUGUCAAGUGAUUAAUUCCCACUGGAAACUUUACAAGCUAUAAUUUAUUUUGUCUAUUACUUUAAUUUAGCCCUUUGUACUUCUGAGGGAAUGUUAAUUGCAACUUUUUUUACUGUAAAAUACAUGAAAAUCAGCUGUGGAAAUCAUUUUUUAAAUAUUGCGUGGAUGUCUGAUUCUUGUUUAAAAUGCCUUGAGUUUUUUAUCUUUUGUUUUAAAUAUGUAAUGCAAUGUUUUAUUCAUAUUUCAGGCACUGGUCUCAAAGCUCAGCUGUGAACAUGGAACUUGUAGUAUUUUUUAACAUGAAUGUCAAUUUAAAAUGUGUUUGAAAUGGUUCAACCAGGAUAAGGGCUUAUAUCAUGGGGAAGACCCCUCCAAGGGGAGCUCCUUUCCAUCAAGAAAAUGGGUCCUGCUUACUGUUGGUUUCUCUUUCUGAUUUGCCCAUUUAUUGGGGCAUCAUGAGAAACACAACAAAUGUGAUCUUUAAUUACCCCCCUUCCCCUUUUGGGGGGCAGGGGCUCCCGUUUGCACCCUUUUUGUAUGUAAAAUAAAAUGUCUUACCUUUA